rnacentral:rRNA from 1 species
CAGUAGCCACGGUAAUACGGAGGGUGCAAGCGUUAAUCGGAAUUACUGGGCGUAAAGUGCACGCAGGCGGUUUGUUAAGUCAGAUGUGAAAUCCCCGAGCUUAACUCGGGAACUGCAUUUGAAACUGGCAGGCUAGAGUCUCGUAGAGGGGGGUAGAAUUCCAGGUGUAGCGGCGAAAUGCGUAGAGAUCUGGAGGAAUACCGGUGGCGAAGGCGGCCCCCUGGACAAAGACUGACGCUCAGGUGCGAAAGCGUGGGGAGCAAACAGGAUUAGAGACCCGGGUAGUCCCUGUCUCUUAUAC